UACGAAGGGGGCUAGCGUUGUUCGGAAUUACUGGGCGUAAAGCGCACGUAGGCGGAUAUUUAAGUCAGGGGUGAAAUCCCAGAGCUCAACUCUGGAACUGCCUUUGAUACUGGGUAUCUUGAGUAUGGAAGAGGUAAGUGGAAUUCCGAGUGUAGAGGUGAAAUUCGUAGAUAUUCGGAGGAACACCAGUGGCGAAGGCGGCUUACUGGUCCAUUACUGACGCUGAGGAGCGAAAGCGUGGGGAGCGAACAGG
rnacentral:rRNA from 1 species